rnacentral:misc_RNA from 1 species
UGUGGGAGCGAGCUUGCUCGCGAUGAGGCCAGCACAUUCAGAAAAUUCAUUGGCUGAUCCACCGCCAUCGCGAGCAAGCUCGCUCCCACA